rnacentral:lncRNA from 1 species
UUAAUUCUUGAGCAGGUUGGGCCUUCAAUUUUGGUGCGGUGCUCCUCCUUUCCAUAGUAUUUUUUUAUAUAAUUUAUUUUUAAAAUAUUUUUUUUUUUGUUUUUCUCUCUAAUAAAUUGGGAGGAGUUUGCCCCUCCUCCUUACCUUAAAAGGAAAACAAAAUAAAUACCACUAGACUAUUUAAUUAGAAAGACGAUGGUAUAAAUGAUAAAUUUCAAAACAACUUUUUUUUUCAUCAUUGCUUCCUUGUACUUGAAAAACUAGACUCUCCUUUGGAAGCAUUGUAUGAUGCGUUAUUUUGUGCAUUAAGACUUGUGAUGAAAAUAAUUAUACCACUC